ensembl:misc_RNA Y_RNA Y RNA
AUCCAGUCAAAGGAUAGUGAGUUAUCUCAGUUGACUGUUUACAGUCAGUUACAGAUAGAAUUCCUUGUUUUAUUCUUUGUUUCUCACUACUGCACGUGACUAGUUUUUA